rnacentral:lncRNA from 1 species
GAGGGCUGGAGCAGACGGGCUUGAGAUGGCUGACGUGGAAUGUGGGAUGAAUCCUCAUGGACCGAGGCAAAGCGAGCCAGCCAGACACCGUCUUGGUGACGGUGAAUGGGCCAAUGAAUCUUUGUGCCAACUUACGUGACUUCAGCCAAAGUCACGUUGUCACGAUCUGGGUUUUGUGUCUAGUUGUUCCUGUUUUAUUUUGGUAAUCUCCUGGUUUCUGUUCCUGUUUUAGCUUUACUUCCGGGUUUUGUUCUUGUCACAGCUGUCCCUGCUUCACCUGAUCGUUAUUCACACCUGCACUGUAUCAGUAAUCAAGUCACGUUGCAUUUAACCACCACCAGUGUCCUCAGUUCCCCGCCAGAUCGUUGUUUGUGUGUUUACCGUUGUUCCCAGUUCGCUGUUCCUGUCCGGCCAGAUCGUUGUUUGUGUGUUACCGUUGUUCCAGUUCGUUGUCUCUGAGCCUGCCACGUCUGUCUGGAUUAUCUACUGUUACCUGUGUAUGACCCCGGACCGUUGUGACCUGAGUUUUGGAUUAAAUAUCAGUUUGACCGCAUCUCCUUGUCUAUCGUCUCAUCGCUGUGCAUUUGGGUCCGUUCAUUGCCGCUCGCUGACAGAACGAUCUGGCCAGACUUGGACCCAGCCAGCGCCAACCUGCACCCAGGUCGGUUACGAGUUUCGUUCCCGUAUUUUCCUUUUUUUCCGUCUGUUUGGCUCCGUGCGCAAGUCACUCGCCGGAGCAAUGGAGUUUUCCUGCCCGAGUCUGCCGGUGGAUAUUCGCGGAGACCUAGAGAGGUUCGCUAAGGCAUACGCGGAAGCGCACAGCCUUGAGGACCGUCUCCGCCACGUAAAGCAGGGCAUCGAAUUGCUGACGGCUGAGUUUUGGUGGCGUGCGUAUCCCGGAGUGCAGACGUACUACGAGAGACUUCAUUCGCUGCAGAGGGAAUUGGCGUGCGCGCUGCAUGCAUCGUCCGCCCGUGUCUCCGCAGCUGCUCCUACCGCUGUUUCAUCGCUUUACGUUCCCGUUCCUGUUCCUGUCGCCGCUCCGGCGGCUCCAGCCCAAGUUCCAGUCGCCGUGGCCUCGUUUCACCAUGCGGACCCCGUUACAGAGGUCCGGUCCACACCGCUCCCAGCGCCUCAAACGACGGACAGUCGCAGCUGCUCCGGACGGCGACGGCGGAGGCGCGGUUCCAGGAUUCCGGGUCCCGCGGUCUCGGUCAGGGGGACCGAGCAGCCUCCUUCUCCGACAGAGGAGCCCCUUGAUUCUCCGACUGACUGUGUCCCUCUGAUAACAGGCAUCCCAGACAGCGUCGCCCGACGGGUCCACCUCCUCUGCUCUCCUCCAGUUGCGUUUCUCUUUGCCCAUCUCAUGAACACCGCCGAUUCGGCAGCAGACCAGGGCACGAGAGAACAAUUGUUCGAGGAAGCAGCCGCUCUCGUCCUGAGGGAACCUGUCCUGCGUGAGGUCCUGCAACUCCCGGUCCUGCAGCCAGCAGCCGCUUCAUGUCCCACCUCUCAGUCAGGUCAGUCGAGCCCAGUUCAGUCUCCAGUCCAGCCGAGCCCUAUUCAGUCUCCAGUCCAGCCGAGCCCUGUUCAGUCUCCAGUCCAGCCGAGCCCUGUUCAGUCUCCAGUCCAGCCGAGCCCUGUUCAGUCUCCAGUCCAGCCGAGCCCUGUUCAGUCUCCAGUCCAGUCGAGCCCAGUCCAGGUUCCCGUCCAGUCGAGCCCAGUCCAGGUUCCCGUCCAGUCGAGCCCAGUACAGGUCUCAGUCCAGUCGAGCCCAGUUCAGGUUCCAGCCCAGUCGAGCCCAGUCCAGUCGAGCCCAGUCCCAGUUCAGUCGAGCCCUGUCCCAGUUCAGUCGAGCCCUGUCCCAGUUCAGUCGAGCCCUGUCCCAGUUCAGUCCAGUCACGCGCAGGUCUUAUCCCAGUCAGAGGACUCCACCUGUCGAACGGGUGCUGUGCACACCCGAUCAGGCCCGACGUCUCCUCCGUCGAGCUCGGCAGCUGUAAGCAGUCAUGCCGGCUCCGGAGGGGACGCCGUCCCAGUUCCUGUCGGCCAUGUUGCGGCCGUUCCUGUCGGCCAUGUUGCGGCCGUUCCUGUCGGCCAUGUUGCGGCCGUUCCAGUCCCCGUUCCUGUUUCUGUCGGCCAUGUUGAGGCCGUUCCAGAUCCAGUUCCUGUCCCUGUCGGCCAUGUUGAGGCCGUUCCAGAUCCAGUUCCUGUCCCUGUCGGCCAUGUUGAGGCCGUUCCAGUUCCUGUCCCUGUCGGCCAUGUUGAGGCCGUUCCAGUUCCUGUCCCUGUCGGCCAUGUCGAGGCCGUUCCAGUUCCUGUCCCUGUCGGCCAUGUCGAGGCCGUUCCAGUUCCUGUCCCUGUCGGCCAUGUCGAGGCCGUUCCAGUUCCUGUCCCUGUCGGCCAUGUCGAGGCCGUUCCAGUUCCUGUCCCUGUCGGCCAUGUCGAGGCCGUUCCAGAUCCAGUUCCUGUCCCUGUCGGCCAUGUUGAGGCCGUUCCAGUUCCUGUCCCUGUCGGCCAUGUCGAGGCCGUUCCAGUUCCUGUCCCUGUCGGCCAUGUCGAGGCCGUUCCAGUUCCUGUCCCUGUCGGCCAUGUCGAGGCCGUUCCAGUUCCUGUCCCUGUCGGCCAUGUCGAGGCCGUUCCUGUCCCUGUCAGUCUCGGGGUGGCAGUCCCGGCGGACCUCCAGGAGGAGGUCGCGCCAGCUGCAGUCCCCGCGCACCUCCAGGAGGAGGUCGCGCCAGCUGCAGUCCCCGCGCACCUCCAGGAGGAGGUCGCGCCAGCUGCAGUCCCCGCGCACCUCCAGGAGGAGGUCGCGCCAGCUGCAGUCCCCGCGCACCUCCAGGAGGAGGUCGCGCCAGCGGCAGUCCCCGCGCACCUCCAGGAGGAGGUCGCGCCAGCGGCAGUCCCCGCGCACCUCCAGGAGGAGGUCGCGCCAGCGGCAGUCCCCGCGCACCUCCAGGAGGGGGUCGCGCCAGCCGCAGUCCCCGCGCACCUCCAGGAGGGGGUCGCGCCAGCCGCAGUCCCCGCGCACCUCCAGGAGGGGGUCGCGCCAGCCGCAGUCCCCGCGCACCUCCAGGAGGGGGUCGCGCCAGCCGCAGUCCCCGCGCACCUCCAGGAGGGGGUCGCGCCAGCCGCAGUCCCGGCGGACCUCCAGGAGGGGGUCGCGCCCGCCGCAGUCCCGGCGGACCUCCAGGAGGGGGUCGCGCCCGUCAUAGUUCUGGCCGUACCUGCAUCGGUCCCUGGCGGCUCGGCCGCACCUGCAUCGGUUCCUGGCGGCCCGGCGCUGACCGCGUUGCCACGUCUGUUCUCGCUUCGGCAGCUGGACUGGUGGCCUCGCCCUCGGCGCUUCCGGCCGUUUGGGUGGCGCUGCCUCCUGCGGCGACGUCCACCUCGACCCCUCGGUCUCCAGGAUCGGCGUCGUCCUGGAGGACGUCGCCGUUCGGGGGGGUCCCCGUGGACGCUGGCCCAGCCCAAGGGCGCUGGGGGUGCCCUCCUGCCUCAGCGGCGGUUGAGCAGGAUCUCGCCGCGUCCCCACCCUCCGUGAGGGACUCCCUGGACUCUGUUGUUUUCCUGGUCGGGGACUUUUGCUCUUGUUUUGUGGACAUUCAAGUUGGGUUCUCUUGAUUAUGAGACGUGUUCUUUGUUUUUUUUGGUCGGUCUGUGUUCGGGCGAAUUCUGUUUGAUAGGGGUUCCCGUUUUGCCCUCCCCCGGUCCGCCCUCCACCCGCCCUGUCUGUGUCCUGUGCGGGUUGUUUUUGGUUCUGUCCCUCCGCCGGUCCUCCCUCCGCCCGCCCUGCUCGGGUUUGUUGUUUUUUUUGGUCGUCUGGAAUCCGCCCUUGAGAGGGGGGUACUGUCACGAUCUGGGUUUUGUGUCUAGUUGUUCCUGUUUUAUUUUGGUAAUCUCCUGGUUUCUGUUCCUGUUUUAGCUUUACUUCCGGGUUUUGUUCUUGUCACAGCUGUCCCUGCUUCACCUGAUCGUUAUUCACACCUGCACUGUAUCAGUAAUCAAGUCACGUUGCAUUUAACCACCACCAGUGUCCUCAGUUCCCCGCCAGAUCGUUGUUUGUGUGUUUACCGUUGUUCCCAGUUCGCUGUUCCUGUCCGGCCAGAUCGUUGUUUGUGUGUUACCGUUGUUCCAGUUCGUUGUCUCUGAGCCUGCCACGUCUGUCUGGAUUAUCUACUGUUACCUGUGUAUGACCCCGGACCGUUGUGACCUGAGUUUUGGAUUAAAUAUCAGUUUGACCGCAUCUCCUUGUCUAUCGUCUCAUCGCUGUGCAUGUGGGUCCGUUCAUUGCCGCUCGCUGACACACGUAAGUUCAAAUGAAGGUCCCUGGGGGACAUGGAUCCAGUCUUUGCUGAAUCCAUGUGUAUUUGCCCCUGGGAGAUAAUGAAACCAAGAAAGGAAACUGUUGACACAUGAAAUUCACAUUUUGACAAAUAGUUGCUCGAGUAAGUGCUUGAGGACCCGUUGCAAAUGGGAGCGGUGUUCCUCCUCAGUCUGUGAAAAAAUCUAAAUAUCGUCAAGGUAAACAAAAACAAAGGA